rnacentral:rRNA from 1 species
AUUGAACGCUGGCGGCAUGCCUUACACAUGCAAGUCGAACGGCAGCGCGGGCUUCGGCCUGGCGGCGAGUGGCGAACGGGUGAGUAACAUAUCGGAACGUGCCCUGGAGUGGGGGAUAACUAGUCGAAAGAUUAGCUAAUACCGCAUACGAUCUACGGAGGAAAGUGGGGGACCGCAAGGCCUCACGCUCGUGGAGCGGCCGAUAUCUGAUUAGCUAGUUGGGGGGUAAAGCCUACCAAGCCACGAUCAGUAGCUGGUCUGAGAGGACGACCAGCCACACUGGGACUGAGACACGGCCCAGACUCCUACGGGAGGCAGCAGUGGGGAAUUUGGACAAUGGGCGCAAGCCUGAUCCAGCAAUGCCNCGUGAGUGAAGAAGGCUCGGUGUAAG